GCUCCAGCGGGCAGAGCGCGUGCGGACGCCGAGCACAUGGGCCCUCGGGCCGGGAGGGCUCGGGGCGGCCUGGAUUCCGAGGAGCAGCGAGGGGCUGCGAGCGAGGCUGGGCCCGGGUACCCGCGAGCAGCCUCCGAGUGGAUCUCCACGCGGGAAGGAUGUUGGCGGCUCCGGUGACACGGCUUGGAUCCACCUUCCAAUGUGAAAUAGCCUGACCUGGUGGGACGUGGAGGGGUUUGUCCCUCGGGAAAGGACACUGAAGAAAGCGAAAGCAACCAGAAAGCAGCCGGAGGCAUCUGUGGACAUCUAAGGAACAGCACAGAUCUCCGUUACUUUGGGGCAAGUUGCUUCACCUCUGUAAGCUUCAGUGUUCUCCUCUAAGAAGUGAGGGAGUGAUGCGACGUCAGCUUCAUAGGUGGUUGUGAGGAGGAAAUAGAGGAAAAACAGCAAACAUUUAGCCGAGUGCCUGGGCGCAUAGUAAGCACUCAAGGCCUGAUCUUUUGACCAGAAAGGAAUCAGAAAGAUGCCUGUCAUGAUGGCCGCACCUGUCAGCUGCAUGGAGCUUCAUUCAAGGAUUUUUCUGAGCCGUGUGGAUUUACAGUGAUAUUCAGCCGCCUGGGGAAUAAUGCUGGUGGAAGCAUUAUCCUGGAAUUGCACCUACCCGGCCCAUUUCUGGAUGCUAACGUGAUUUUAAGGAAGGCCCUGGCCGAGUGCCUUGUGGAUUCCUGCAGCUUGGAUGCCGCUGGGGACAGAGGACCACCGUUUCCUGCGAGGGCUGAGCUCUUUGUCCUCAUCUCGGAAUGGGAAUGUUUGGUUGGGUCUCUCGAGCUCCCUCUCCGGCUCCCUGUGAAACAAUCCUGUUAUACCUGGGCUUUAGGUGCUUUUUAUCUGGGGAAAAAAAAAAAAAAAAGAAAAAGUAUCCAUUCAGCACUCCAGAGGGACUUGAGAAGUGUCCUUCCCUGAAGUAAAGCUGUAAUAUCUUGAGAUUUGGAGAAUUAAGAAGGAGCGAACAACAGGCUCCCUGAUUCCUAAGCCCCGGUGAGAGGAUCGCCCAGGAACCACUAAAGGCUGAGUUCACCAUGGUGAGUGCAUCCUUGCGACCGAGACAGGAGCUCAUCGCGGGGCUGGCAAAGGUGCAAGCUGCCAGCCAGGACUUCCAGAUGUAAUUAAGUUAAGGAUCUUGAGAUGAGAUCAUCCUGGAUUACCUGGGUGGCCUUAAAUCCAAUGACAAGUGUCCUUACAAGAGACGGGGAGGAGAAGACAGAGAGAAGAGGAGAAGGCCUUGUGGAGACAGAGGCAGAGACUGGACUGACGCAGCCACAAAUCAAGGAAUGUCUGGAGCCACCGGAAGCUGCGAGAGGCAAAAGAUUCUCCCUGGAAGCUUGAAGAGAGUAUGGCUCUAGCAUAUUCUGUUCGUUAGACGUGAGUCAUUCAGUCCAGCCCACACACUGGAGAGGAUUGUGCAAGGGCUUGAACACUGGGGGCAGGAUCACUGGGGCCAUGUCAGAGGCAACCUCCCACAGAAGGCAGCAGUCCCACCUUCCAUUUCUCUGGCUCUCCCAUGGCAUCUGGCUCUGGAUUGUACAUUGACCGUGUGUGUGGGCUACUGAGCUAGACUGUGUGUACACACAUCACAUGACGUAGUAUCAUUUCACCCUCACAUGAACCCUCCAAGGAGAGGUGUUCACCCUUAUUUGACAGAGGGGAUAACUGAGGCUCAAAAGAUGAAGGCCACACAGUAGCCCUGGAAGUGGCUUUCCCUUGCUUAUACUCUAUUGGUCAAAUCACAGUCACAUGGCCUCAAAUUAGCUGCAAGGGAGCCUGGGAAAUGUAGUCUUCCCCAGAAGGAGGAAAUGGUAUGGUGAGCACACAGCUGGUCAGGAACAGGCUGGCACUUAAUCUCAGGUGCUUUCCCACUUCAUCUCUGGCCUUUUCUCUGGCUCAGGUGCGUUUCAUGGGCUUUCUUACAUCAACCAGUGUCAUGGGACUUGUUUUUUCCCCCUUAAAAACUGAAAAAAGAGUAGAGGAAAGAGACAUGUCUUGGGUGCAUCAGCCCCCUUUAUUUUUGCCAGCAGCCUUCACCCAUUUAGAGGCCCAGGUGCACAGCUUGUCAGCUGCCCAGCACUUUAAAAGCUCCCAGUGUAUAUGCAGGGGUUUCUUGCAAGAGUUUUACUUCCACCAUCUUUAGCAAUGCAGGGCCGCCCUCUCCAAUAUUUGAGGAGCCCUCUAGUUACUUCUCCUUCAAUGCCUAAGCCCUGGACUCAGGGCCACAGAGGAGCUCCAAGUGCAAAACCUGCUGUUCCAGCCACUCCUGCCCCGCUGCUCCAGGCUGCUCCAAACACAGCUCCAAAUGCAGCUGCGUCAUAUGCCUGCAGUUUCCAAAUGUCAGGCCUUGCUAUACCGUGACAUCUGUCUGAAGUCCCUCUCUUUCCUCCAGACUCAACUCGAAUGAUACCAGUGCCAUGAAGUCAUCGUCAGUCGGUCAUCGUUCAGCUGGCCCUCAUUUGGGAGCAGAGGCAUAGACGUGCCUCUUUGUCUAUGCCUGUGGCUCACAGGACACGUGCCGUGGCCUGUGUAGACGCUGAAGGCCUCUGCCCAUGCCUGCCUCUCCUUGUAGAACGUGAGAGGUUUAAGAGGCCUUUGCUGGCCUCUUCAUUACCUGCAAGACUGAGUCCAGAAGUCGUCCUGUGAAAUGCCAAGCCCUCGCCAAGACCCAGAGGUGAAGAGUAAAGACUCUAACAUUGGUUUGAAGCCCAGCUCUGCCACUUGUGGGCUGGGUUACUUUGGGCAAAUUCUUAGCUUCUCUUUAUCUCAAUUUGCCCAUCUGUCCAGUGGGGCGAAUAAUGUUGUGCAUAUUCGAUGAAAUAAUGCACCGAAAGCCCUUGCAACAGUGGCAAGCACAUGGAAAGACACUCAAGAAAUGGCAACCAUCUUUCUGUUAUCAUUACUUUUGUUAUCACCCUCCUACCUUUGUAUGCAGCAGCCACACCAAGUUACUUAUUUGUUGACACUUUUGAUGGUCUUGCAUGGGCCUUUGCUGUUACACUUGAUGUUCCUUCUGCUCGGAGGUCCCUAUCUCUCACCAGUUCAUUCAUUCAUACCUAGUCAGUCAUUCGUUUAAGAGAGUUUUUGCUGAACUCCCAACUACUCAUCCUGUAGACCCAUCUCAGUCCCCUCUGUGGCUAUCCCCAUUGGAUUUACCACCCGUUUUGAAGGUCUGUUUACUUUUCUGUAUCUCUGUGAACUUGAGAGCAGAAAAAAUGCCCUUUUCCCCACUGAGUUGACUGCUCUGAAUCCAGUUCCUAAUUUCAAAUCUGGCACCUAGUAGGAGCUUAAUAAAUUUUCUUGAAUUAA